AUAGAAGACAGCGCGCUCUCGUAUCUAGUCUAUGUGUAUCUAUGGUCGGCACGUCUGGUAGCAUCUCUGGCUGCUGUUGAUCUUAUUUUUGGAGUAAAACACGGUGGAAGCUGAAUUAGUGAGGAUGACUCCUGCUCCUGUCAUCUCUAAGCUCCUCACACAUCUUUACCUGCACAUGAGGAAAAUCACUCCUGUAGAAUGCAGUGGUUCAUCAGAACCUCUGGGGAUGUCCUGUGGAUCCUGUGGAUCCUGUGGGUUGCAGGGUGGGUCCUACAUAGACCAGGCUGAUCCUGGACCAUCCCACAGAUGCUCCAUCAGAUCUGGAUGUGGGGAGUGUGGAACCCAGAUGUUCAGAGGGAGAUGAUGCCACAUCUGGUCCAGCUGAUGGAAGGUCUUGAAGUUCUCUGACUGGCCUCGACUGAAGAUGGUCGUCUCACUGGAUUUAAGGUUCAGAUGCUCAGUAACAAACUCCACCAAUGUGCCAACAGGGAAGCUUUAGGUUUAUUAAAUGUUGCUAUGAAGGUUUCGCUGUUUUUCUUUGUGAAUGCAAUGUGCUCCAACUGAAACUUGAAUUAGAACUUAGAAGUAAAUCCUUCCAUCUGAAAGGAUUUAGUUGCAUUAAUAACCUCAUAACAUUCUAAUUUUUAUUCCAGUCUUGGUUGGAAAUAGAAUCUCUGUAUUGAUUCAGGUAAAAACUGAACUUCACAGCAUGGAGCAAAACAACCAGAUGAAAACUGUGAUGGUGUUGGAUUGUCAGACCGUAAUGUUGCAGCUCAAAGCAGCUUUUCUAGCUCAGUUCAUUCUGACAUUCAGCUAUGAAUCAACACAGCAGAUGGUGAUCCAUGCUGUGGAAGUCUCACAUCUCCUGAUUUAAUGGAGCUGCUUUGCACUUUUUACACUGUUUAUUCACCAACACUUUAUUUAAUAAAAGUCCCAUCUAGUUUUUAUGAGGAAUGUGAUGUUUUAAUUUCUCUGUGAAUAACUGCAGUCUAAUGCAACAGCUGGAGUUGUAACAUCUGUCCUGAUAUUGAUCAUGAAGUAUUGAUCAGAAUACUUAUGGUUAGCAGUCAUCCCUGAAGUUUUACAUUCAAAUCUUUACUUGUGUUGUGAACUUUGGUAAGAAGCAGAGACUUUAGCGUUGCCAUGGAUACAUGAGUGUUAAAUUCUGUCCAUGUUUCAUUUUGGGAAAUUCAGUCCAGUUCCAGAAUGUGGAGGAAUUUAGUCUCACAAUCACAGACAACAAAUAUUAUCUGAAAGUCGGGUUAUUGUUGUUUAUCAGCACAAUACAAAAAGAUUAAUGUUAAAAAUAUUCCAGUUAAGACUCUAGAAUAUCAUGAUUUAUGUAAAUUUACCUCAAUAAUAUGAAUGUUCAGGUUAAGAUUGUGCAGUGAUAUUUAUUAUGCAAGUUUAGCUGAUUAAAGUUUAUGACUCUGCACUAAAAUAUUAUUUAAAUUGACAUCAUUAUUAUAAUAUUUAGGGUCAGACCCUACAGUAUUGAGAUUAAUAAAUCAAAUAUUCCAUAAAAUGUAAAUACACUGAACACAUUGGGAUAUAUUUAAGUGAGACUCUACAAUAUUAUUUGACACAAAUCUAUCUAAAUCAAAAUUUUCAUAAUUUUCACGCCAAACAUUUACUGGACUGAUUUAAAUAUUAAAAUCACUCCUUUCUAAUCCUCUGCUGUACGUUCAAACCUGAGGCCUUAAAUAGAGAAACACACAAGUAUCUGAUUGAAGGAACUUCUACAGAGUCCUGGUUCCAGAACAUGAUGAUAGAAUUAUAGACAAACUUUAACAAAAGCUGCCUGAGAGUUUACAGGUUUUUAUGCUGGAUUUCUUCAGUAAUUUAAUGAGCUUUAUCAGCAAUAAUCAAGUGUUCAUUUGAUGAACUUCAUUUCCUAAAACAUCCAGAAUUGGAGCUCUUAUCUUUGGCAGCUGUAAAGUUUCUGCUCCUUCAAAGUUCACAAUGAAUUAAUUCCUAAAACACUCUCAAUGCUGGAGAGCGUUUGAUGCUGAAGCAGUGACCAGUUUUUCUGUUUCUUCUCUGGAGAUGCACAAUGAGGGACGUCUGCAGAGACUGAGAAAGAGUCUCACCACAUCCUGACAUGAGGAAAAAGACUUUAUUGAAGACUACAAUGAGAAAAACUAUCAGACAGCAGACGGCUGCAUUCAAGGUGAACUCUGAACAUUUGAUCUGGAACAGGAAUUCAAUAACGGCAGCAUGAGCUUCAUUUCAGUCUGUAGCUGCUGAAUUCAUGGAUGAAUCAUCUGGCACUAGAGAAGAAGACCAUCAAACAUCCACAUCAGCUGAUGGAGGUCCAGGAGUCUCACCAAACAAACAACCUACAGAGUGAAGACCUCAAAUCUGAUUGGAUGGCCUCCUAUUCAGCCACAGUUUAGGCUGUUAGAUUGUUCCAGAUAAGACAAGUACAAGAUUCUUCAGAGCCGUUCUACCACGAGCCUGACAGGAAGAACUCCAACAGCUACUGAAUGUUCCUGUGGUUCCCUCAAGGCUACAGGAGGAGUCCUACGAGGACGAGCUGGUCCACCUGAUGGCGGCCAGUCGCUGCGGUUCAAAGCCAACACCGACUACGUGGACUUCUACUGGACCACAUGGAGGCCUUCAAACCAGACCAACGAGUUCAUCGACUCCCCGACUCGUGGGUCUGAGGACGCCACCGAGCCUCGGUCCAGCUGGCCUCCUGUCUGUGGAUGUUUGAGUGCUGAGAGGUUUAUGGAUGCAUGUGAAUGUGUCUGUGUUGAAACAGCAGCUUUGGACUCACUAACGCUGGUAAAAACCAAGAGCUCCUUUAUUUGUGACUUCCACUGAAAAAAAUGAUGAACAUAAGUUUGCCAGGGUUCUGACUGAUAACAGAUUAUUAAAUAAUGAAAAUAAUCGUUUAAAUAUUCCUUUAAACAAUCCUUUUAGGUCUACAUUUUCUUUACACUGACUUCUUGGUAUUUUGGGUGGAAUAUACCAUUAAGCCCAAUGUUCAAGGGUUCCUCUGGGAAUAUAUCAUUAAACCAACCUUUUAGGUAAAUGUUCCAGGAUAUUGGGUAGAAUAUACCACCUUUUAGGUCUACGUUGGAAGAUUUUAGAGUAGGCUAUUACUCCAAACCAUCCUUCAGGUCUACAUUGAAGGUGGAAUACUCCUUUACACCAAGAUUUUUUUGCUCUAUAUUGAAGGAUUUUAGGUGGAAUAUUCCUUUUAACCAGCCCUUCAGGUCUCUUUGAGGAUUUUGGAUGGAAUACUCGGUUAAACCAACAUUUUAGGUGCAUGUCCAAGGAUUUUUGGUGGAAUGUUCCUUUAAGGUGGAUGUUUGAGGACCUUGUAGGUGGAACACUUCCUGAAACCAACCUUUUAGGUCAACAUUCAAAGAGUUAAGGUGGAAUAUUCCUUUAAACCAACCUAAAUUUCAUGUUUUGAUCAUUAUCAAGUGAGAAACCUCAAUCCAGACUCCUCAUAAUGACGUUUGAGAUUUAUGCUGCUGUUAUUUGUUUAGUCCGGACAAAAUGACAGAAAUCCACAACUGUAAAUUUAUUACAGGACUCAGUUAUUAAAUGUCAAAACAAUCCAUGUGACUCUAAAAACUCAACAGCUGUACAAACUCCAAGAUUAAACUCUCCACAAGGAUCCAAAAUAAGUUGGACUUCUACAUGAGAGCUUUAAUUAGUCUUCGUCUACUUCCUGAAAAGUUUGGUCAAUAAAAAAGACAAAAACUGGUAUUUUCAGCUGAACUAAAGACAGACUUUGUGAUUUUUCUGCUCGCAUAUUGUGUUGUUGUAAACUUACUCUUUCAAAUAAAUAGCAGCCUAAACCCCUGGAAACCAGCGUUUGUCCUGUUUUUGUGUUGCUCCUCGGCGACCCUAGACAGCAGGGUCCUAAUGUUUUUUGAGCAACACACCAUACUAUAACGUUUUUACAAUGAUGGUUCUACUAUGGAACCAGUUUGACAUGUUCAGGUGUUCUUUGUGUGAAAACUCAGAGAUUUCAGGUAUCAGAAGGUGGUUUUCAACUUUCUUUGUUAACUUUCUGCCUCGUCUUUAAACUAAAUUUCCUUCACUAACCCAGCCCUCUGGACUUCCAGUAAGCUGUGUUCCUAUUGGCUGUCCAGGUGGCUGCUUGGUGUUAUCAGGAACACCUGAGCAGCUCAGUGUCUUCCUGCUUUAUUUAGCUGCAGACAAACAUUUCCUCUGCUUCACUUCACCACUGAACUGGGUUUGGCUCCGUUGCUUUAAUUUGUUCUUU